UACAAGGUCUCUACGCUGGGUGUCUCUCUCUGCGUGCUUUGAUAGUGACUGUGGCAGUCAGUGUGGUUUGUUUGUGGGGCAGACGCGUUGCCGCGUCCUCUUGUCCGUUUUGUUUCGUUCUGUUCUGUGCUCCGACGGCAACUGGCAAUCACAUCGAGGUUCGUCUCAAACUCUUCAAGUGCGCAUCAACUCGCAAGGCGCCUACAUUGAGUGAGAUGGAGCAAAUCGUAAAUCAGAUGUAGUCUCCUGGGCUGAACAGCACCGGCCUGAGGCGGAGGACAAGUUCGCAGAGGAAACCAGCCUCUGUGUUCUGGAAGAUCUCCACUCUCUUGAGCGUGUCCAGAUGGACAUGGAUGGCGAUCUCUGCCUUGAGCUUAUCCGGUAGACAGCCCACGGAACGCUCUUCGUCCGAUGACUUCUGCGUUAGCCACAGUUUACUCCACAAGAUGGAAGUGUGGAGAGCCUUCUUCAGGUGGUAUCUGAUGGUCAAGCCAAUAUCGGUAGCCCUCUUCGUCGAUGGCCCUCUGUGAGAUGACUUUCUUCAUCUUAUUGUCCAGUUCAGAGGAACGGGAUCGUCCCAGCAGCUUUUCAGCAAGGUCCACGAGCUGCAAGACAUUUGAAGACCGAGUCAUGAUAUUGAGAUGUUACAAGGACGCUUGAAGAAGACGACGACGAAGCUAGACGGUUUCUUAUUGCGAACGCGGACUCACGGCGGGCUACUUGCCGGAAGUACUCCAAUAGUCAUAGGGUGAUGGAGCCCUUGAUAUCUUAUUUGCGCCGCCUAACAGCAACGAUCACUACAUGAGCAGGAUGAAUAGGAUACCGUUACACCUACAGUGCAAGAAGCACAGUAC